AUGGCAGUCUCCAAGCUCGCCGCCGUGUCUCUACUGCUGCUUUCAGCAGCCACGCUCGCAGCCGUGCUGCUCCUCCGUUCCUCCGGCGCAGACGACGGCGGCGCCCCGUGGGGCGCGGGCAGCGGCGGCAUCCUGACCACCGCCCUGCCGUUCAGCCCCGCGGACGUCCUGCCCCUCCUGCCGCGGCGCGUGGCCAUGGCGGCCCUCCGCGCGCUCCACGGCGCGUCGGACAUCUUCCCGGUGUUCGUGGGCGCGGCGACGGCGGGGCCGGCGCAGGCGGGCACCGCGCCCGUGGGCUGGAAGGGCGCCUGCUUCUACGAGAACGAGGCCUGGCUGGUCUUCCACAACGACUCCGGCUCCAAGUACGGCGGCGGCACGGUCCACCUCAAGACAACGAAAGCACAUAGCUGGACUUGCAUGGAUCUGUAUGUGUUUGCAACUCCAUACCGUGUUACAUGGGAUUACUACUUUCUAGGCCGUGAGCAUACCCUUGAAAUCAAAGAAUGGGAAAGCAAGGCGGAAUAUGACUAUGUGAAACAUAAUGGAGUGUCCAUCUUCCUCAUGCCGUCAGGAACAAUCGGGACACUCAGAGCACUCUGGGAUGUUUUCCCUCUUUUCACAAAUACUGGAUGGGGCGAGAAUGCAAACCUUGCAUUUCUCAAAAAGCAUAUGGGUGCGACCUUUGAGGAACGGCCAAAACCAUGGGUUUCAGAAUUAAAUCCGGAUGACAUCCAAUCUGGAGAUUUUUUGGUUUUAUCAAAAAUCCGUGGACGCUGGGGUGGUUUUGAAACCCUUGAGAAGUGGGUUACCGGAGCUUAUGCAGGCCAUACUGCAGUUUGCCUGAGGGACUCUGAAGGAAAGCUGUGGGUUGGAGAAUCUGGUCAUGAAAAUGAGGAGGGAGAGGAUAUUAUUGCUGUCUUGCCAUGGGAAGAAUGGUGGGAGUUUGAAACAACAAAGGAUGAUUCGAAUCCUCAGAUUGCAUUGCUUCCAUUACGUCAAGAUUUACGAGCAAAAUUUAAUGAGACAGCAGCUUGGAUUUAUGCGAAAAAAAUGAAUGGGAAGCCUUAUGGGUAUCAUAAUAUGAUUUUCAGUUGGAUCGAUACUAUAAGUAACAACUAUCCACCACCAUUGGAUGCUCACGUGGUUGCAUCUGUUAUGACUGUGUGGAACAAGCUUCAACCAGACUACGCGGCUAGCAUGUGGACAGAAGCCCUUAACAAGCGGCUGGGAACUAAGGGUCUUGAUCUACCUGAAAUCAUAGUGGAAUCAGAGAAACGUGGGAUGACAUUUGACAAAUUGCUAACAAUUCCUGAGAAAGAUAAUUGGGUCUAUACUGAUGGCCAAUCAGCAUCUUGUGUGGCCUACGUCCUCAUGAUGUACAAGGAGGCUGGACUCUUUGAACCAAUUUCCAGCUCUAUAGAAGUCACGGAGUUCACGAUAAAAGAUGCUUACAUCCUGAACUUCUUUGAAGCCAACAUGACACGGCUUCCGUCGUGGUGCAACAAAGACGACACUGUGAAGCUCCCGUUUUGCCAAAUCAAGGGCAGGUAUCGAAUGGAACUGCCAGGAUACAACACCAUGGAACCGUACGCUCACAUGAAUGAAAGGUGUGCAUCGCUGCCUCCGGACUACGUGAGGGAUGAGAACUGCUGA
rnacentral:rRNA from 1 species